ensembl:lncRNA
AAUUCAGACAGUUAAAGGAACUGUUCAUCCCAAAAUGUGUCGUUAUGUUAUUCCCAACCGGCAUUAUUUUUGUAAAACCCAUGUUAGGCACUGACGGGAUUCACCCUUCACAAUUACGGUUUUAUUUUAAAUGUUUCUUCUCAGUAUUUCUUUUUGUUUCACAGAAGAAAGAAAGACCGGUAUGGAACAAUGUGACGGAUUUGGACCAUCAGCGGACAUGCCUGGAGGAGGACAGUAGCUGUCUGCGAGCUGAGAUCCGACUUUAGACCUCUCACAUAAGUGAUCCAUCGUGCUCAACACAUGCUAGGCCUGGAUGUUCGCCAUAGUCUCCUGUGUACAACAUGCCCAUGCCAAGAUCCUGCUGCUGUACCUUUAGCCGUGACAAGUCGGCCUCUGCACCAGCUGUGCCCAUGGGGCGUCAUCAGUCGUAACAAGAGUCGGUGUGCCCGCUUCAGCGCAACCCCAUUGUGGUGUUAGAGGAUAAUAACACUCUGCUUCCUUUUGUCAGUGUGUUUUGCUGGAUGAUAAACAGAGGGGAUGAAGGACCGGCAGAGGAGCUCAGGCUCAAAGAGUGGCAUCAGCAGGUGGAGAGACAGACAUGGUGGAACCACAGGCGGAGGGUGAACCAGCUGCAGGGGAAAGCUAUGAAGUCUACGAGGUGGGCAUGCGAUUCUGCAAGGGAUAAGAUUGAAGAAAAAUAAUUCCCAGGAAGCACAGGAAGAGAUGGAGGAGGAAACAUUACAGCAAACCUCUUGCAAGGAGUUCUCAAAGAAUAAAAAUAAACUUUAAGACGAUAAACAGAGAAACCCUGCAGAAAGAAUUGAGAUCGAGACUUUUUUGACCCUUCAUUGACUUCUUUUAGGUGUUUCAAUGAGAACUUGGGAAACACUAAAUUUGGCCUCACAGAAAAAGGCCCAGGCAGAAGUCUGAAUUUUAAGAGCAGAAAUCUCCAGCCCGAAGUCUUGCUAUGUCCAGAAAGUCAUCCGUAUGGAACACCCUGAAGAGGCAAUGGACCAGCUAACAGAAGAGCUCCAAGCAGCCCUGGACAAUCUGAAGAGCCAGACGGGGAAAAUACACCAGUGCGAGGAAAAAAUUGAGAGAUUAAGAGAGAAAAUGGACAGCCACCAAAAAUGGUGCUGGCAGGCUCCGUCUUUCAGAGAGGAGUAUGAGGCAUCAGCAUAUAGCAGCCCUAAAACUGGUGGUCCAGCUGCACAGGAAGAUCCCGGAAGGGCCAAGUUCACACCGAUCAGUCUUAGUACCAUGAUGAUGGCCACAGCACAACCACAUGGACCUAAAACAACUAGAGAGGCGCUUUCAAGCCAAGAGGUUUAAUAUCAUAAAAAAUCAGUGGUGUCAGAGGACUGGGCAGAAUUAUGAAAGCAUUAUGAAAGACCAGACCAGAGCCUCAGGCAGUUCUGCACCACCCAGCUCCAGCUCACAUUUCACAGUUACUCUUGACUGGAAACCCUGUGUGAUUCCAUCCGUCUCAACUUACCGGAACUACCUACAGAGUUACAUCUCACCUUACCGCACCCCUGCCUCCAGCUGAGCCGCCCCUCUUCCUGUAGCCUCCCGACUUCUUUCUUUCUGC